UACAGAGGUCUCGAGCGUUGUUCGGAUUCAUUGGGCGUAAAGGGCGCGUAGGCGGCGCUGUAAGUCGGGUGUGAAAUCCUGAGGCUUAACCUCGGAACUGCAUUCGAUACUGCGGCGCUUGAGGACUGGAGAGGAGACUGGAAUUCAUGGUGUAGCAGUGAAAUGCGUAGAGAUCAUGAGGAAGACCAGUGGCGAAGGCGGGUCUCUGGACAGUUACUGACGCUGAGGCACGAAGGCCAGGGGAGCAAACAGG
rnacentral:rRNA from 1 species